AUGAGUCUCUUUGCACUAAGAAGUAGCUGCUGGGGGACCUGGGAGGACAGGCUGCACUGGGGACAGCAGUGUGGCAGCCACCAACCCAGCUCCCAUCAGGAUCUAGGCUUUGUGGUGCUAGGUGCUGGCUUGGGGUGCUGCUGUGGUUGCCCAGUGCUGGCCGAACCUGGCACUGGCUGUGCAGGGCUGGAGGGAGGUGGCAGGCAGGGAGUGCUUUGUGCUUCUCACCUGCAGUUGCAGGAGGUAAAUGAGUCAGUGACGGGCAGCUCCCAGCUGCUCCACUGUGGUUUUGCACCGUCCCUGUGGAGCGCAGAGCUCCCCACACCGCUUCAGGGCUUCUCCAUCAGGGUUGUCCUGGGCAGGGGGUGUGCAGCCCCUGGGAUGCCCUCCCAGCUCCAUCCCCACUGCAAAGCUCUGUGUGGCCACGGAAGCCCCUGCAAAGGCCCCUGCAUCUCACAGGGGUCCUUCCACCGACCUUGGUGGGCUUUGGAUCCAGUGGGCUCCGUGGGGGUGCGCGGCAGCCUCCAGACCCUCACCCAGCAGCUGGUGCUGCAGCCUAGUAUGUGCUUGUUGGCAGCAGAGGGGUCUGUGCAGAAGCUGUAUGUGGUUCAGAGCUUUCUUAAUGAAAAUGACUUCCAAAGCACAUUUUGUGGGCAAAAUGUUAACUUCACCAUGUCUCAACACUCUCCAAAACCUGAGAAACAGAGAUGGUUUCUUCUCGGUGGGGAGGGAGGCUCUUGUUGUCACUCUCUUUCAUAUGCACACACACACACACAGUGGUUCUUCUUUCUCUCCCGUCCCACUUUCCUCCUCCAAAAGACUUCGAACACUUUAUGGAAAUGUUAUUUUCUCCCCAAACUGUUGCCUUUCUGCUGCAUUCUCACCAAGCAGCCUGCUGGCUUUCCCUGGGCUCCGCUCCCAGCGCGGGCAGUCGCAGCUGUCCCACAAGUGCAACGUCAGCGACGUCCCUGUGGUGACAGUGCUGAGCCUGUGGAAGGGGAAGAAGGUUCAGGGGUGGCUGUGCUGGGCUGCCAGGUGCCGGGCCGCCUGGUGAGCUAG
ensembl:lncRNA